GGUUAAGUUAACAAGGGCGCAUGGUGAAUGCCUUGGCACUAGGAGCCGAUGAAGGACGGGACUAACACCGAUAUGCUUCGGGGAGCUGUACGUAAGCUAUGAUCCGGAGAUUUCCGAAUGGGGCAACCCAGCAGUUUUAAUCAACUGUUACCACUAGAUGAAUUCAUAGUCUAGUUGGAGGUAAACGCUGUGAACUGAAACAUCUCAUUAGCAGCAGGAAUAUAAAGAAAUUUCGAUUCCCCAAGUAGCGGCGAGCGAACGGGGAACAGCCCAAACCAAAGUGCUUGCACUUUGGGGUUGUAGGACUGAACAUUUGAGUUACCAAAGAACUUGAUAGUCGAAGGAUUUGGGAAAAUCCGCCAUAGAUGGUGAUAGCCCAGUAGAUUAAAUCAAAUUCUCUCAGUUCAGGAUCCUGAGUACGGCGGAACACGUGAAAUUCCGUCGGAAUCCGGGAGGACCAUCUCCCAAGGCUAAAUACUACCUAGUGACCGAUAGUGAACCAGUACCGUGAGGGAAAGGUGAAAAGCACCCCGGGAGGGGAGUGAAAUAGUUCCUGAAACCAUGUGCCUACAAUAAGUCAGAGCGCGUUAAUGCGUGAUGGCGUGCCUUUUGUAGAAUGAACCGGCGAGUUAUGAUCCCGUGCAAGGUUAAGACUAAAAAGUCGGAGCCGUAGCGAAAGCGAGUCUGAAAUGGGCGAUUUGAGUACGAGGUUAUAGACCCGAAACCAGGUGACCUAUCCAUGUCCAGGUUGAAGGUGCGGUAAAACGCACUGGAGGACCGAACCCGUGUAAGUUGAAAAUUGCUGGGAUGAGGUGUGGAUAGCGGUGAAAUUCCAAACGAACUUGGAGAUAGCUGGUUCUCUCCGAAAUAGCUUUAGGGCUAGCCUCGGAUUAAGGAUCAUGGAGGUAGAGCACUAUUUGGACUAGGGGCCCGUCUUGGGUUACUGAAUUCAGAUAAACUCCGAAUGCCAUUGAUUCAUGUCCGGGAGUCAGACGAUGAGUGAUAAGAUCCACCGUCGAAAGGGGAACAGCCCAGACCAUCAGUUAAGGUCCCUAAAUGUAUGCUAAGUGGAAAAGGAUGUGGAGUUGCAUAGACAACUAGGAUGUUGGCUCAGAAGCAGCCACCAUUUAAAGAGUGCGUAAUAGCUCACUAGUCGAGUGAUCCUGCGCCGAAAAUGUACCGGGGCUAAGCAUACUACCGAAACCAUGGAUGCGACCAUUAGGUCGCGUGAUAGGAGAGCGUUCUAAGGGCGGUGAAGCAAGAUCGUGAGGACUUGUGGAGCGCUUAGAAGUGAGAAUGCCGGUAUGAGUAGCGAAAGAUAGGUGAGAAUCCUAUCCACCGAAUGACUAAGGUUUCCUGGGGAAGGCUCGUCCUCCCAGGGUUAGUCGGGACCUAAGUCGAGGCCGAGAGGCGUAGACGAUGGAUAACAGGUUGAGAUUCCUGUACUAGUUAAGUGCGUUUGAGCAAUGGAGGGACGCAGGAGGCUAAGAUGUGCAUUCUGUUGGAUUAGAAUGUCCAAGCAGUAAGUCUUGUGGAGAGUCAAAUGCUUUUCACUUUAAGGACAAGCUGUGAUGGGGAGCGAAAUUUAGUAGCGAAGCGUCUGAUGUCACACUGCCGAGAAAAGCUUCUAGUGAGUACUUAACUACCCGUACCGCAAACCGACACAGGUAGUCGAGGAGAGAAUCCUAAGGUGAGCGAGUGAACUCUCGUUAAGGAACUCGGCAAAAUGACCCCGUAACUUCGGGAGAAGGGGUGCUGAUCGCAAGAUCAGCCGCAGUGAAUAGGCCCAGGCGACUGUUUAUCAAAAACACAGGUCUCUGCAAAAUCGUAAGAUGACGUAUAGGGGCUGACGCCUGCCCGGUGCUGGAAGGUUAAAAGGAUGGGUUAGCUUCGGCGAAGCUCAGAAUUGAAGCCCCAGUAAACGGCGGCCGUAACUAUAACGGUCCUAAGGUAGCGAAAUUCCUUGUCGGGUAAGUUCCGACCCGCACGAAAGGCGUAACGAUCUGGGCACUGUCUCAACGAGAGACUCGGUGAAAUUAUAUUGUCCGUGAAGAUGCGGACUACCCGCGACAGGACGGAAAGACCCCAUGGAGCUUUACUGUAGCUUGAUAUUGAGUGUUUGUACAGCUUGUACAGGAUAGGUAGGAGCCAUAGAAACCGGAACGCUAGUUUCGGUGGAGGCGUUGGUGGGAUACUACCCUCGCUGCAUGACCACUCUAACCCGCACCACUAAUCGUGGUGGGAGACAGUGUCAGGUGGGCAGUUUGACUGGGGCGGUCGCCUCCUAAAAAGUAACGGAGGCGCCCAAAGGUUCCCUCAGAAUGGUUGGAAAUCAUUCGCAGAGUGUAAAGGCACAAGGGAGCUUGACUGCGAGACAGACAGGUCGAGCAGGGACGAAAGUCGGGCUUAGUGAUCCGGUGGUACCGUAUGGAAGGGCUAUCGCUCAACGGAUAAAAGCUACCCUGGGGAUAACAGGCUUAUCUCCCCCAAGAGUCCACAUCGACGGGGAGGUUUGGCACCUCGAUGUCGGCUCAUCGCAUCCUGGGGCUGUAGUCGGUCCCAAGGGUUGGGCUGUUCGCCCAUUAAAGCGGUACGCGAGCUGGGUUCAGAACGUCGUGAGACAGUUCGGUCCCUAUCCGUCGCGGGCGUAGGAAAUUUGAGAGGACCUGUCCUUAGUACGAGAGGACCGGGAUGGACAUACCUCUGGUGUACCAGUUGUGCCGCCAGGCGCAUCGCUGGGUAGCUACGUAUGGAUGUGAUAAACGCUGAAAGCAUCUAAGUGUGAAACACACCUCGAGAUGAGAUUUCCCAUUCCUUUAUGGAAGUAAGACCCCUGAAAGAUGAUCAGGUAGAUAGGUUAGAAGUGGCAGUGCGGUGACGCAUGAAGCGGACUAAUACUAAUCGGUCGAGGACUUAACCAA
rnacentral:rRNA from 1 species